ensembl:lncRNA
CAAAACCUGUUCAAACCAGCCCUCAUAAAAGGAACAUUGGUGGUCAGGAUGGAAUGGCAACCCCAACCCCAGUUCAGGAUGGGUCAAGUUAGGAGUGAGGCUGCCCUUUCCUUCUUUUUUAAAAAAGGUGGGUUUUUUUUUUUUGGUUGUGAAGCAAGGCAUGCAAGAUCUUAGUUCCCCGACCAGGGAUCAAACCUGUAGUGGACGCAGAGAGUCCUAACCACUGGACUACCAGGGAAAUCCUUGUCCUUUCCUUCUUGAGGAUCUGUGUGGUCUCUUGACACAUCUCUUACCACGAGGUAUCAGGACCUCUCACCCUGAGCAGUAGUCUCUGUGUCUCUUCAGAUUCUCAAGACAGAGCACUUGAGUGGCCCAGCUCACGUCCUUCCUGCCAGGUGAUGGUGAGAAUCCACUGGGGAUCCUGGGAAAGUUUCCUUUCCUGAUGAAAGGAGCAGGAGAGGCUGGUGCCAUCUCUCUCUCGUGCUUCCUGUCUUGGUUGAGAUUCCUGGCCAUCCCAAGUGAUCCUAGGACCAGGAGGCAGAAACCAGUACACCGGGUGGAUUCUUUAGCAGCUGAGCCACAAUGGAAGCCCAAGAAUACUGGAGUGGAUAGACUAUCCCUUCUCCAGCAGAUCUUCCUGACCCAGAAAUCAAACCAGGGUCUCCUGCAUUGAGGCAGAUUCUUUACCAACUGAGCUAUCAGGGGAGUUGUGUUACUUACAACUAAACAUAUUCCUAACUGAUUCAGUAUCUGUAAAAAUCUGUGUAUGCUAAGAUUCUAAGUGUAGUAGGCUGGGUGGACCCACAAGCUCAGGUGGCAUCCUA